GGCUUCCUGGUGCUUACCACGGGCUAUAUUCUUACAUUGACUGUAUAGAAAGAGGAGGAAGAGUAAACCUACCCCAUGUACACCUCAGCCCAAACACUGGGCCUGGUGUAUUGUGAAAGGGGAGACACAA